CAAAUGUUUCUUUAAAAUAUGAUCGGCCUACUCGGCCAACUUACUGAUCUUUCCGUGUGUUCGCAGCGCCAAAGGAGAUACUUCCCAAGACCUCAAAUUGUGAAGAUCCAGCCUCUGAGAUGCACCCUGAUUUCUUUAAAUGCGGCGGAACAGAUAAAUCAGUUACCGCCAGCUCUCCAUUCCUGUUUGCGGUUGUGUGGUCGUUUCCAGGAGACGCCGAUUUAAUAAGGCUAAGGAUUCCAGAAUGGCAGCCUUAUAAAGGUAGGAUUUUUCUUUUUCUAAG